UUCAACAAGAUGGCUUCCUUCGUGCAGCUUUGCUGCUCUCGAAGAAGAUGAAUACAACUAAUGAUAGUAAACCAAACUAACAAACGUGAAAGAAAAUAACUUGGCUGGUCGAUAAACUGGACUAGACUUGACUACUUCUGGUUGAAUUAUGUUUAUAUUCUUCCAUUUGGGGUUCUACUAAACACAUCUAGUCACAUUCGCAUCACUUCACCAAAGGUCUCCACCGUCGACUCCAAGAACAAGCCAUAAAAAGAGCUAGAAAAGGUCAGAAAAAACUCUUGGUCUUAAGAAAAAAUGUCGUGGCUGGAGUUGGAAACAGAAGCCUCUUCAGCGCAGCUCCAGGAACUGGAAAAAGCCGUCGACGACGAAGACGACCGAGGAAAAGAAACCAAAAGCCUGAAACAAUGGGAAAGAUCUUGGUAGAGCCCAGUGUAUCUUGAACAGAGAAAAGAUGGACAAUGAAGAUGAUGAUGGCCAUCACAAACCCGAUGAUGUGUACUGCCAGGAACAGAUCAUAGCGAGUGUUGUACUUGUUGUUAUAGGGGUAAU